rnacentral:lncRNA from 1 species
AUUCCAGGAAAAAUGUCAGAGGCCAGGAAUGGCAAGGUAGUCGCACCCAGGGCUCCUGUGAAGGGUUAAACUUAGGGUUAGGUUACGUGAAUCUCCAUUUACCCUUGAUGCCUGCAUAUGGGGUGGAUUCCAUCUAUCAUUUCCCUGGCACAUGUCAAAUACUACAUAAAACUUCAAACACGAUGGUAAAUCCAAAACCACAGAGGAAAGAGUUAGUUCCCAAGGGACCAGAAAUACCUUAAUAAUAUAAAACGUUAUCUAGAAUAUAUCGUAAGGGUCCCGCGAAACGUCGGAGAAAGAGACCACCAAGUGACCACUCAUGCAAUUGGCAGAAGGGGAUUUAUUGAACCAGCAUGCUGGGGCUCCGUGCCCACUCAAGAAGGGAAAGCAGCCCAGAGCCCCGAGCAGGGGCUGAGCACUGCUUAAGUACACUUUUUGGGGAGGGCGAAGAGCUUUGUAUACAUCAGAACAAAUCAUCAUGAGGCGCGGGAAAAUUGAACAACAACUCCUAAACAUGAUUAGUUCAUUCAUUGGCGGGAACAGGUCAGGCUGGAGUGAUAGGUCAUUUCUAAACGGGGUACACAUUCAAACUGAUUGGUUUUAGGGCCUAGAGGACUACGUGAGCAGUUACACAGAGCCCUUCAGUUAUUAAAUAACCAAACAGCCAGGGGAAAUGUUUACUGGGCGGUUCUAAGCAUUGUCUUAACAGCUACAGAAAUUUCAGGUUUUGCAGGUAGUAUAGAAACCUAACAAUACCUCCUUUACAUUUUAACUCAGACCUUGCAGCUUAGAAACUUUUACAACACCCGGUCUUUUACCCUUUAACUUUUACGCUUUAACUUCAAUUUCUUUUACCCUUACAAUAUCUGCCUUAAAUUAGU